GGAAAGGAGGAGAGCGCUGAGCGGGUGGCACGCCCCGUGUCUAGAGUUGUUCGUACGCACGUUGCCCCGGCGUGCGGCUAUUGUGGAGCCAUAGGGGGCGGGGAAAGGGAGUGAGGAUGAUCUUUGGGGCAGAGGCCAGGCCGAAGGCGCGGAAGAGAGGAGCUAGCAUGGAUUCCCCGUGAGCGCAUUCCUCCGUGCCAUGACCAGAAUCAAAUUGACAGCGCCUCCAAAGAGAACAGGCUAUGAGAGUUGGGAAGCUGGCUUGAGGAGGAGAAGCAGACGGGCGUACAUGAAUCAAAAUGACCCUGUGAUUCAUUCGAGGCCUCAUUCAGAAGAUUCCCUGGUGUGUGCGCAAGGCGGAAAGCAGCAGUGCAGCUUUGAGAAUGACAACGGAAGACGAGCGCGCCAAAAGGGUCACAAUUUAGAUUGCAGACUCCUUGGGGCAGAAAACUGUUGUUCUGCACUUCUGGAAACAAGCGCUACGCAUAUCUGCCAUAUUGUGGGAGUAAGAAGUAGCCAUCCAGAGCAGAUUUGAUCUCUGUGUCACUCCAGUCUGACAAAGCGUCUUGGGCAAAGGGAUUUCCCUCCCAAAGGCAGGCUUUUUUCUGUUAUGGUCUUCAUCAUUGUUAUUAAAUGUAAAAAAGGGG